rnacentral:rRNA from 1 species
AGAGUUUGAUCCUGGCUCAGGAUGAACGCUAGCGGCAGGCUUAACACAUGCAAGUCGAGGGGCAGCAUAAUAAGUAGCAAUACCUAUUGAUGGCGACCGGCGGAUGGGUGCGUAACGCGUAUGCAACCUACCUUAUACAGGGGGAUAACCUUUCGAAAGGGAGACUAACACCCCAUAGUAUUAAUUUAAGGCAUCUUAGAUUAAUUAAAUAUUUAUAGGUAUAAGAUGGGCAUGCGUAUGAUUAGCUAGUUGGUAAGGUAACGGCUUACCAAGGCUACGAUCAUUAGGGGUUCUGAGAGGAAGGUCCCCCACACUGGUACUGAGACACGGACCAGACUCCUACGGGAGGCAGCAGUGAGGAAUAUUGGUCAAUGGACGCAAGUCUGAACCAGCCACGUCGCGUGAAGGAAGACGGCCCUACGGGUUGUAAACUUCUUUUGUAAGGGAAUAAAGUGUAGUACGUGUACUAUUUUGCAUGUACCUUACGAAUAAGGAUCGGCUAACUCCGUGCCAGCAGCCGCGGUAAUACGGAGGAUCCGAGCGUUAUCCGGAUUUAUUGGGUUUAAAGGGUGCGUAGGCUGACCAAUAAGUCAGCGGUGAAAAGCAUAGGCUUAACCUAUGUCUUGCCGUUGAUACUGUUGGACUAGAAUAUAAAUGGAGUAGGCGGAAUGAAUCAUGUAGAGGUGACAUUCAUAGAUAUGAUUUAGAACACCGUUCGCGAAGGCGGCUUACUAAGAUAUAAUUGACGCUGAUGCACGAAAGCGUGGGUAUCGAACAGGAUUAGAUACCCUGGUAGUCCACGCUGUAAACUAUGAUAACUCGUUGUCGGCGAUACACAGUCGGUGACCAAGCGAAAGCGAUAAGUUAUCCACCUGGGGAGUACGAUCGCAAGGUUGAAACUCAAAGGAAUUGACGGGGGCCCGCACAAGCGGAGGAGCAUGUGGUUUAAUUCGAUGAUACGCGAGGAACCUUACCUAGACUUGAACGUAGCAGUAAUAAUGUAGAAAUAUGUUAGCUAGUAAUAGACUGUUACGAGGUGCUGCAUGGUUGUCGUCAGCUCGUGCCGUGAGGUGUCAGGUUAAGUCCUAUAACGAGCGCAACCCUUACACUUAGUUGCCAGCAUAUAAAGAUGGGGACUCUAAGUGGACUGCCUGCGUAAGCAGAGAGGAAGGUGGGGAUGACGUCAAAUCAGCACGGCCCUUACGUCUAGGGCGACACACGUGCUACAAUGGUAGGUACAGAGGGCAGCUACAUAGUGAUAUGGUGCGAAUCUCAAAAGCCUAUCUCAGUUCGGAUCGGAGUCUGCAACCCGACUCUGUGAAGUUGGAUUCGCUAGUAAUCGCAGAUCAGCCAUGCUGCGGUGAAUACGUUCCCGGGCCUUGUACACACCGCCCGUCAAGCCAUGGAAGCUGGGGGUACCUGAAGUUCGUGACCGCAAGGAGCGACCUAGGGCAAAACUAGUAACUGGGGCUAAGUCGUAACAAGGUAGCCGUACCGGAAGGUGUGGCUG